UGCGAGUCAUAUGUUCUUCGUGAACAUGGCGUACUGCUCAGUAACACGUGGAUAACCUGCCCUUGGGACCGGGAUAACCCCGGGAAACUGGGGAUAAUACCGGAUAACGCAUAUCUGCUGGAAUGCUUUAUGCGUAAAAUGGAUUUGUCUGCCCAAGGAUGGGUCUGCGGCCUAUCAGGUAGUAGUGGGUGUAAUGUACCUACUAGCCUACGACGGGUACGGGUUGUGAGAGCAAGAGCCCGGAGAUGGAUUCUGAGACAUGAAUCCAGGCCCUACGGGGCGCAGCAGGCGCGAAAACUUUACAAUGCGGGAAACCGUGAUAAGGGGACACCGAGUGCCAGCAUCAUAUGUUGGCUGUCCAGAUGUGUAAAAUACAUCUGUUAGCAAGGGCCGGGCAAGACCGGUGCCAGCCGCCGCGGUAACACCGGCGGCCCGAGUGGUGAUCGUGAUUAUUGGGUCUAAAGGGUCCGUAGCCGGUUUGGUCAGUCCUCCGGGAAAUCUGACGGCUCAACCGUUAGGCUUUCGGUGGAUACUGCCAGACUUGGAACCGGGAGAGGUAAGAGGUACUACAGGGGUAGGAGUGAAAUCUUGUAAUCCCUGUGAGACCACCUGUGGCGAA
rnacentral:rRNA from 1 species